rnacentral:rRNA from 1 species
GAUGAACGCUGGCGGCGUGCCUAAUACAUGCAAGUCGAGCGAACAGACGAGGAGCUUGCUCCUCUGACGUUAGCGGCGGACGGGUGAGUAACACGUGGAUAACCUACCUAUAAGACUGGGAUAACUUCGGGAAACCGGAGCUAAUACCGGAUAAUAUAUUGAACCGCAUGGUUCAAUAGUGAAAGACGGUUUUGCUGUCACUUAUAGCUGGAUCCGCGCCGCAUUAGCUAGUUGGUAAGGUAACGGCUUACCAAGGGGACGAUGCGUAGCCGACCUGAGAGAGUGAUCGGCCACACGGGAGCUUGGCCGCGGUCCAUGCGCCUACGGUAGGCAGCAGAAGGGAAUCGUCGGCGAUGGUCGAAAGCCUUACGGAGCGACGCCGCGUGAGUGAUGAAGGUCUUCGGAUCGGAAAACUCUGUUAUUAGUGAAGAACAAAUGUGUACGGAACUAUGCACUGCGUGACGGUACCGAAUCAGAAAGCCACGGCUAACUACGUG